AGCAGCCGCGGUAAUUCCAGCUCCAAUAGCGUAUAUUAAAGUUGUUGCAGUUAAAAGCUCGUAGUUGAAUUUCGGGAUCAGUAUGUUGGUCGUGCUUCGGUACGUACUGUCAUUACUGGUUUCUACCUUCUGAAGAACCUUGAUGUCAUUAAUUUGGUGUCUUGGGGAAUCAGGACUGUUACUUUGAAAAAUUAGAGUGUUUAAAGCAAGCAUACGCUUGAAUACAUUAGCAUGGAAUAAUGAAAUAGGACGUUUGAUUCUAUUUUGUUGGUUUCUAGGAUCGACGUAAUGAUUAAUAGGGAUAGUUGGGGGCAUUAGUAUUCAAUUGUCAGAGGUGAAAUUCUUGGAUUUAUUGAAGACUAACUACUGCGAAAGCAUUUGCCAAGGAUGUUCCAUUAAUCAAGAACGAAAGUUAGGGAUCGAAGACGAUCAGAUACCGUCGUAGUCUUA
rnacentral:rRNA from 1 species